CCUCCUGCAUGAAAUUUCUGUUGGCAGAAAAUGGAUUUUCUGAGUUUGCUGCUUCUUUUUUUAUUGGCAGUGACUGUGAGCAGAGCCCAGGUGCAGCAGGAGCCGUCGGCAGAGACCAGCGAGGGCACCGACAUCAACAUCACCUGCUCACACCCCAACAUCCAGGUUGGAGAUUCCAUUUAUUGGUACCGUCAGCUCCCGGGCCGAGGACCCACAUUCCUCGUCAGCGCCUUCAAAGACUCCAAGGAGAUGCCGGACGCGGCGGGGCGGCUGUGGGUGUCGGCAGACCGCCGCUCCAGCGCCCUGUGGCUCGCCCAGCCCAGGCUCGGGGACGUGGCGUUGUAUUACUGCGCCGUGGACCCACGGGGAGAGGAGCCGGGGCUGCGGCCGGGCACGAACCGCGGCAGACGGGGCAGGGGCGGGGACGGGGCGGUGGCACAGUCUCGUGCGGGCCCGCAGGGGGCGCUGCGUCCAGGGCCGCCAAACUCCAUCCUGACCAGGGCGCACCUCCCUGAGUUCUCGAGAGAAAUGAGCACGGCACUCAUAGCAGCGAUUGACUGAGGUCAAACAGAUUUAUGUUUGAGGUAGGUAG